rnacentral:rRNA from 1 species
GACAGAGGUCCCAAGCGUUUAGGCGGAAUCACUGGGCUUAAAGCGCGUGUAGGCGGGACGGCACGUCGGUCGCUGAAAGCCCCCGGCUCAACCGGGGAACGGGCGCCGAUACGACCGCCCUGGAGGGACGUAGGGGGACCUGGAACUUCCGGUGGAGCGGUGAAAUGCGUUGAGAUCGGAAGGAACGCCCGUGGCGAAAGCGAGGUCCUGGACGUUUUUCUGACGCUGAGACGCGAAAGCCAGGGGAGCGAACGGG